rnacentral:rRNA from 1 species
UGGGGAAUUUUGGACAAUGGGCGAAAGCCUGAUCCAGCAAUGCCGCGUGUGUGAAGAAGGCCUUCGGGUUGUAAAGCACUUUUGUCCGGAAAGAAAUCCUUGGCUCUAAUACAGUCGGGGGAUGACGGUACCGGAAGAAUAAGCACCGGCUAACUACGUGCCAGCAGCCGCGGUAAUACGUAGGGUGCAAGCGUUAAUCGGAAUUACUGGGCGUAAAGCGUGCGCAGGCGGUUUGCUAAGACCGAUGUGAAAUCCCCGGGCUCAACCUGGGAACUGCAUUGGUGACUGGCAGGCUAGAGUAUGGCAGAGGGGGGUAGAAUUCCACGUGUAGCAGUGAAAUGCGUAGAGAUGUGGAGGAAUACCGAUGGCGAAGGCAGCCCCCUGGGCCAAUACUGACGCUCAUGCACGAAAGCGUGGGGAGCAAACAGGAUUAGAUACCCUGGUAGUCCACGCCCUAAACGAUGUCAACUAGGUUGUUGGGGAUUCAUUUCCUUAGUGACGUAGCUAACGCGUGAAGUUGACCGCCUGGGGAGUACGGUCGCAAGAUUAAAACUCAAAUGAAUUGACGGGGUCAUAGCUGUUUCC